rnacentral:rRNA from 1 species
UACGAGGGGGGCAAGCGUUGUUCGGAAUUAUUGGGCGUAAAGGGCGCGUAGGCGGUGCGGUAAGUCACCUGUGAAAACUCUGGGCUCAACUCAGAGCCUGCAGGCGAAACUGCCGUGCUUGAGUGUGGGAGAGGUGCGUGGAAUUCCCGGUGUAGCGGUGAAAUGCGUAGAUAUCAGGAGGAACACCGGUGGCGAAGGCGGGUCUCUGGGCCGUAACUGACGCUGAGGAGCGAAAGCGUGGGGAGCGAACAGG